rnacentral:rRNA from 1 species
AGGUCUCAGAGAUGAGACUGUGCCUUCGGGAACUGUGAGACAGGUGCUGCAUGGCUGUCGUCAGCUCGUGUUGUGAAAUGUUGGGUUAAGUCCCGCAACGAGCGCAACCCUUAUCCUUUGUUGCCAGCGAUUCGGUCGGGAACUCAAAGGAGACUGCCAGUGAUAAACUGGAGGAAGGUGGGGAUGACGUCAAGUCAUCAUGGCCCUUACGAGUAGGGCUACACACGUGCUACAAUGGCAUAUACAAAGAGAAGCGACCUCGCGAGAGCAAGCGGACCUCAUAAAGUAUGUCGUAGUCCGGAUUGGAGUCUGCAACUCGACUCCAUGAAGUCGGAAUCGCUAGUAAUCGUAGAUCAGAAUGCUACGGUGAAUACGUUCCCGGGCCUUGUACACACCGCCCGUCACACCAUGGGAGUGGGUUGCAAAAGAAGUAGGUAGCUUAACCUUCGGGAGGGCGCUUACCACUUUGUGAUUCAUGACUGGGGUGAAGUCGUAACAAGGUAGGCGUAGUGCU